rnacentral:rRNA from 1 species
AUUGAACGCUGGCGGCAUGCCUAACACAUGCAAGUCGAACGGCAGCAUAAGUGGAGCUUGCUCUUCUUGAUGGCGAGUGGCGGACGGGUGAGUAAUAUGUAGGAACCUACCUAGAGGAGCGGGAUAACUUAGGGAAACUUAAGCUAAUACCACAUAAUCCCACGGGGGAAAGCAGGGGAUCUUCGGACCUUGCGCCUUAUGAUGAGCCUACAUCGGAUUAGCUAGUUGGUGGGGUAAAGGCCUACCAAGGCGACGAUCCGUAGCUGGUCUGAGAGGAUGACCAGCCACACUGGGACUGAGACACGGCCCAGACUCCUACGGGAGGCAGCAGUGGGGAAUAUUGGACAAUGGGCGAAAGCCUGAUCCAGCAAUGCCGCGUGUGUGAAGAAGGCCUUAGGGUUGUAAGGCACUUUCAGUGGGGAGGAAGUUGUAGGUGUUAAUACCAUCUGCAAUUGACGUUACCCACAGAAGAAGCACCGGCUAACUCUGUGCCAGCCGCCGCGGUAA